CCCUUUGAAGGGAGGAGUAUCAAGGAAUUUGUGGACAUAUUUAAAAACCACCACAGGUGGUAAAUAAGUUAAUUGAAUCCAAUCGAGCGUUGAGGCAACAUGGGCGGUAACCAUGUACUUCCCUCUCCUCCAAUCAAAUGACAGAGUGUUAGGACAGAAGCAGCGUGGGAUUUACCUUGAACUUGGAACCCGAGGUUGAGAAAAUCAUUCCACCUGAAGGCCACCAUGCUGCGAGGAGGCCCAAGUGAUCUUUGGAGAGGCCCUCAUAGAGAAGAGACAGCGCCGGGACCAACUGGCCAACCGUGGGUGUGAGCCGUCUUGAAAACGGAUCCCCGCGUUCCAGCUGAGCUGUCCCAGCUGACACGGAGUGGCGCAGAGAUACUGUGCCUGGAGGUGCAGCAGCCAUCUUGGGACCAUGAGGAUGAACCCCACAAGCAGUGGACAGCAGAGUAGGAGGAUAGAGGGCUCUGUGAUAACCUAAGUAGAUACAUGAGCCCUGGAUUCUGUAUGUUUCUCUGGAUUUUUCCUACAAGAGAAAAAGAAACUCCUUACUCAAGCCACUGGCUGGUUAUACGGCUGUGAUAAGCAAGAUCCUACGUAAUUGGCUCUACGACGGAGAACUGAUCCACUGAAUGGGAACGAUUCUAGAAGAGACGUAAAACCCGGUGAUGACUUAAUCCACGACAAACCAAAUAACCAAAUAGCAGAUAUAGGAACGAUUAUUUAAUAAAUGCCGUGCGCACAAUUUAUUGGUACGGAGGCCUAACUUGGAUUUGUAACUUACGCCAGGCUCUGUCUGUGCACCCCACCUCCCACCAAAUUCUGGAUGCAUUCGCGUUAACUAUAAAAACAAAGCAAAAAUAUACCAACGGUAGCAAGCACAGAAUCAGAAGAAAAUAGGAGGGUAUUUGUAACAUACAGGUUGGUUUAUUUAUUUUGAGACCCCGAGAGAGGGUACGAGCCCGGGAGGAGCGGAGAGAGAAUCGCAAGCCGGCCCCUCGCUGUCGGCGCGGGGCUUGAACCCCGGACCGUGAGCUCGUGACCUGAGCCGAAAUCAAGAGCGGGACGCUUCCCCGACUGAGCCGCCCAGAUGCCUCUCGGGGCUCUGGGCUUAAGCAGGACCUGGAGUGGUUGUAAUAAUUAUUGAGUCCCACGCGAAGCUGCAGCAGCUACCUGGAGGCAUGUUCUUCUCCUGGCGACGGCAGGGGUUCGGGAGGCCAGGCCCAAAGGAGGAGGAAGCGCGUUUGAAAACCUCCGACUGGAUCCUGUUGACUUCGGUUCCAUCGACCAAACGGGUGAUGUCCAGUCGAGAGCUUGAAAUCUGACCACACUGGGAGUAUUUACACCACAGGAAUCGGCGAGCGCUACAGACGGGCCUUCCCCACCCCGGGAGAGCCAGUUGCUAAAUAUUUACCAGCACAUCGCUGCUGCUGAGGGACAGCUCCAGAAUGAAUGAAAUGGAAUUAAAUGUCCAGGCACGCACAAGCUCACGCCUGGCACGGAGCCCAACACGGGGCUUGAACUCACAACCCGGAGAUCAAGACCUGAGCUGAGAUCAGGAGUCGGACGCUUAACCGACUGAGCCGCCCAGGUGCCCGUCCUUCUGUAUUUCCAUUCAGCAGAUCUCUUUCGAGCGCCCGACUUGUGCGGGGCACCGUGCCCCCAUGACUCCCUAGGCCCCAGCGCGGGCAGCCUUGCCCAGUUGUGGCUUCUGGUCUCACCUACGUGAUCUGCGACCUGAGGGCAGGAUUUGGGUCGUCUACUCCCCAAUCCCCUGCCCUACCCUCACAAAGCCCAUCAUUAAUUCCUGCGGGAGCUGCCACCCCCCCCCCCCCCCCCCCCCCCGCCAUCCUUUGGCAUGGUGUUGGCAAUCUCUUAAGGAGGCCUUUACCGCCACACAUAUAAUUAGAACUUUGGGCUAAACCCAUCCCAGAGGAGCAAAACAUUACAUUUUAAGGCACAUGCUUUUGGAUUUAUUUAUUAAAAAAAAAAAAAAAAUUUUUUUUUUUUUCCGAAAAAGCCGUUCGUUCCCUUCCUUCCCUCGGAUGACAUCACGCCUGAACACAGCGCACGGCUCUCCAUCACUUUAAAGGGGGAGCGCUUUGCAUGCCGUCUUUCCCUUCAAACCCUUCCGAACCAGACCUUCCCUGGGAGCCCCGGGAUGGGCAUUUUCCUUCAGGUACAAGGAUCAUUACAAGGCAAGCAUUCUUAAACCGGGUCUGCUCCCAACACAGCAUUUCCACAUAUGGAUAUUAAUUUAUGUGAUCACUUGAAUACAAACGCUCGGCUGUCUCCAUAAGUUAUAGAAGCAAUCAUCCCAGGGAGCAUCGGAGACACCGAGAGUCAAUUCCUGUGUAAUAAUUUCAUAUUCGAGCCAGGGAUGCCAAAUCACGGCCCCUUUGGAUAAAAUGUGAGCCUGUGGAAACACUCCCCUCCCCCUUUUUAUUAUUGUGCAUUUUAUUUCUCCAUAAAAUACGUUUAUGCCCUGGAAAAACAAACCAACCCAGGGGGCCAGGCUGACAGCGUGAUGCAGGGGGUGCUCUGCCGGGAAGCUUCUGACUCAGCCACUAGCAAGCACGGCGAUGAGGGAGUGUGUCCGUGAGCUGCUGAGAAAGCCCUCCUGGGGCCAAAUCUUGAGGGGGCAGGCAGCCAAAGAUCGCCAAGCCUUGGAACAGAAAAUCACCGAGCCUUGGAAUGGAAGAAGGUCAUCUGGCCCCGCUUCCCAUCUUGGUGGGAAGCCUCUUUUUCCUUUUUUUUUUUUUUUUAUACAGCUUUAUUGAGAUAUAAUUCACAUACCAUAUAAUCCACCCACUUAACGUGUACAUUUCAGUGAGUUUUAGUGCAUUCCCACAGAAAUGCAACCGUCACCACUUUUUAUCAUCCCCAAAAGAAACCCCAUCCUCAUUAGCAGUCGCUCCCCAUUUCCCUGCAACCCCUCCGCAGCCUUGGGCAACCACUCAUCUGCUUUCUGUUUGUGUAGGUUUGCCUGUCGUGCAGAUUUCGUAUAAACGAAACCACGCAGCAUGCGUCUUUCGUGACUGGCUUCCUCCACUUAGCGUGAUGUUUCUGUUUUUCAUUGCUCUUGGGUAUAUACCUAGGAGCAGAAUUGUUGGGUCCUACGAUGACCCUGUGUUUAGCCUUAUUGAGAAACAGCCAGACAAGUUGCCGCAGUGGUUGCCCCGUUUUGUAGCCUCCCCAGCGGUGUAUGUGACUUCCGUUCCCCCCACUUUUUGUGAUUUGAUAAAUUGUGGUCAAAUACGUGUAACAUAAAACUUACCAUUUCUUUAAAAAAUGUU